GAUGAACGCUGACAGCAUGCUUAACACAUGCAAGUCAACUGUGGCGGACGGGUGAGUAACGCGUAAAGAACUUGCCUCACGGAUAGGGACAACAUUUGGAAACGAAUGCUAAUACCUGAUACUGUGAGAGAGGUUUGCGUCCCAUUAGCUAGUUGGAGAGGCAACGGCUCACCAAGGCGAUGAUGGGUAGCCGGCCUGAGAGGGUGAUCGGCCACAAGGGGAUUGAGGCGCGGGCAUUACUCCUACGGGAGGCAGGAGUGGGGAAUAUUUGACAAUGGACCAAAGUCUGAUCAAGCAAUUCUGUGUGCACGAUGAAGUUUUCGGAAUGAAAAGUGCUUUCAGUUGGGAAGCGGUACCAACAGAAGAAGUGACGGCUAAAUACGUGCCAGCAGCCGCGGUAAUAC
rnacentral:rRNA from 1 species